UACAGAGGGGGCAAGCGUUGUUCGGAAUUACUGGGCGUAAAGGGCUCGUAGGCGGCCAACUAAGUCGGACGUGAAAUCCCCAGGCUCAACCUGGGAACUGCGUCCGAUACUGGAUGGCUUGAAUCCGGGAGGAGGAUGCAGAAUUCCAGGUGUAGCGGUGAAAUGCGUAGAUAUUCGGAAGAACACCGGUGGCGAAGGCGGCCCACUGGCUCGAUACUGACGCUGAGGAGCGAAAGCGUGGGGAGCGAACAGG
rnacentral:rRNA from 1 species